GAUGAACGCUGGCGGCGUGCCUAAUACAUGCAAGUCGAGCGAACAGACGAGGAGGGUGCUUGUCUGACGAUUACGGCGGACGGGAGUGUAACACGUGGAUGACCUACCUAUAAGACUGGGAUGAUUUCAGGAAACCUUAUCUAAUACCGGCUACUAUAUAUAAUCGAAUGGAUAUAUAGUGUAAGAGGGCUUUGCUGUCACUUAUAGAGUUAUCCGCGUAGCAUUAGCUAGUUGGGAAGGUAACGGCGUUGCAAGGCAAGGAUGCGUAGCCGACCUGAGAGGGUGAUCGGCCACACUGGGACUGAGACACGGUACAGGCUCAUACGGAAGGCAGCAGUAGGGAUUCUUGCGCAAUGGGCGGAAGACAGACGGAGCAGCGCCGCGUGAGUGAUGAAGGUAUUCGGAUCGUAAAACUCUGUUAUUAGGGAAGAACAAAUGUGUAAGUAGGUAUGCACAACUUGACGGUACCUACACAGGAAGCCACGGCUAACUACGUG
rnacentral:rRNA from 1 species